rnacentral:lncRNA from 1 species
GGCUCCGCUUUUGCACACAGCACCACACAACACCGCGAUGGGGCUAUAAAUGCGUUGCCGACCUAGCAAAAAGCGUUAAAUACAUACAGAAUAUACGCAGAGACAGGCUUUUGAAGAAGAUAAACUUUUUUUUAUUGAAGCAACAUGGACAAGCCGGCAUGCAAAUGCGGAGAUCCCAAGUGCGUGUGCACCACACAGUGCAAGUGUGCGACGGGCGGAUGCCCCUGCGACAGGUGCAAGAAGUAGGAGCUCGCGCUAUGGAAGACUCCGGCGCUUAAACCAUGGACGCUUCAAGUCGGCCUCAAACCUGAACGGGCGCGGCAGAAACUAAAGAAAAUGAAAUGCCGUAGCUAUUCUCGUUGUGAGAGCCAAUAAAAA